rnacentral:lncRNA from 1 species
CUGCUGUUUGCAUAAUCCCUUUCACUUUUUAUCCCUGACCCCAGAAAUGAGGUGCCUUCCCCAAGCCCUUCCUCCAGAGAGAACCUCGAGUCCCUUGUGGCUGAACUGGAGAAGACAGUUGCUUCCCUACGGAAACAGGUGAACGCACUAGAGAGCCAGCUGAGGUGGCAGCACAGGAACACCAGCACACAAGGACAGGUCAAGAAAACUGGAGACAAAUGGAGAAAAAGAUGACCAUGUUGCCUCUUUGAAUAAGGUGCCCUGUGACCUGCACUCCUGCUCUCCACCAACCACUCCAACCCACUCCUAUAGGGCUCAGAAAGCCACCACAAGACCCCACGAAGCUCUGCCUCCUCUCACACCUCCUGUGCCACUCCCCAUCCCAGGACCACUGUACUUUUGCCUGUAUUGAACCUUCUGCACUGACUGUCCACGAGCCCCUCAGCCCCUGGAUCCUUCCUGCCUUUGUCAGCCUCCUGGGGAUGGGCUCUGCCCUGGAUGGUGACAGCCCAGAGUCUGCCAAGAUGCCUCUUUCUUCCACAGCCCCCAGGGGAAUGGAGACUAAUUGAAGUUGCUUUAGUGCCCCUUUUCUGCUCCUCUUCCCACGCACCACUGUCGUCACC